rnacentral:tmRNA from 1 species
UCUUGCUGCUGCUCGAAAACCGAAGUCUGGAAUAAGCGUGUAGAAAGCGUAUGGUUUCCUUGUUUGGACGAGGGUUCGAUUCCCUCCAGCUCCACCA